rnacentral:tRNA from 1 species
GCCUUCGUAGUGUAGUGGUCAGCACGCUCGACUCGAAUUCGAGAUGUCCGUGGUUCGAGUCCCAGCGAGGGCG